rnacentral:rRNA from 1 species
UACAGAGGUCCCGAGCGUUGUUCGGAUUCACUGGGCGUAAAGGGUGCGUAGGUGGUGAGGUAAGUCGGAUGUGAAAUCUCGGAGCUCAACUCCGAAACGGCAUUGGAAACUACCUUGCUUGAGGAUUGGAGGGGGGACUGGAAUACUUGGUGUAGCAGUGAAAUGCGUAGAUAUCAAGUGGAACACCAGUGGCGAAGGCGAGUCCCUGGACAAUACCUGACACUGAGGCACGAAAGCUAGGGGAGCAAACAGG